rnacentral:sRNA from 1 species
AUCAAAGUCGUUGUAGUAUAGUGGUAAGUAU